AUUGAACGCUGGCGGAAUGCUUUACACAUGCCAGUCGAGCGGCAGCGCGGCCUUCGGGCUGGCGGCGAGCGGCGAACGGGUGAGUAAUGCAUCGGAACAUGCCCAGUCGUGGGGGAUAACACUUCGAAAGAAGUGCUAAUACCGCAUACGUCCUGAGGGGGAAAGCGGGGGAUCGCAAGACCUCGCGCGAUUGGAGUGGCCGAUGUCAGAUUAGCUAGUUGGUGGGGUAAAGGCCUACCAAGGCGACGAUCUGUAGCUGGUCUGAGAGGAUGAUCAGCCACACUGGGACUGAGACACGGCCCAGACUCCUACGGGAGGCAGCAGUGGGGAAUUUAGGACAAUGGGGGCAACCCUGAUCCAGCCAUUCCGCGUGAGUGAAGAAGGCCUUCGGGUUGUAAAGCUCUUUCGGCAGGAACGAAACGGUGGGCUCUAACAUAGUCCGCUAAUGACGGUACCUGAAGAAGAAGCACCGGCUAACUACGUG
rnacentral:rRNA from 1 species